GGCGGUUUAAGGUGACAGCUUCUAAAUUCUAGAAAAUGCAUAAACACUCGAAACACCUGGAGUGUAUUCCAUAUUUAGAACAUGGAAUGUAGCAAUAAGUAUGUGGAAUAUUUUUACCAGCAAAACGCAAGUAAAUUUGCCCCACGGCAGCAAUGUACAAUGGGUCCAAGGAUGCAAUGUCACCUGAUGCCAAGAUUCAAGGAUACAGUAGCUAUAGGUUGAUUUCCUCACUUCUUCAUCAAUGGACAAUGGAGUCGUCAUCCUAAAAGUAUUC